GGAAAGAACACAGAAAAGGGAGGGUGUAGAUAUGACAUAUCUGAAAAAUGUGAUACUGAAACUGCUUGAAACAGGUACUCAUGUUGCAAAUCAAUCACAAAAGCAGAUUUUUUUUUUUUCCUCCCUUUCCUCUCAUUGAUUGAAGUAUUGAGGUAUAAGGGAUGUUUCAAUUCUGACGUUUUUGAUUACCCUGUUGAAUUUUCUCUGAAAAGGUGAAGUGGAGGCACUAUUGCCUGUGAUCGCAAUGCUUCUGCAAUUCAGUCCUGAAGAGGUGAAAUUCUUGUGGAAACCUAGUAGUUUUUGUGUAUUUCCGUAAAUGAGCGAUGGGAUUUGUAUAUAGGAAUUACCAUAAAUAGAAUCAGAAUUUGCCUGCCUUUGAGAUCUUUGUGUGUGCUGAGGUAUUAGGAAGCAUGUGUAGCCAGAUGUACAAAACUACAAUGGCCAUUUGAUGACCGUUCCAAGUUCAUUGCUCUUAUGGCAUGUGCCAUUGAGGGUUCACAAUCAUAUUAGUAUCAUAUGCCACAUUUCAGUUCCAAGGACUGACUUCUCAAGCUUUUAUUUGUUUCCAAGUAUCUGCCACUACAAUUUACCUAACUUUGCUGUCUUACGUAUUAUUUUAUUAUGAAAUCAGGUGCUGAAAUGUCAACAAGCAUACCGCACAUAUGGUGAUGUUCCACCAAGUCCAGCAAGUGAUACUUCUGGAUCCACGCUCUCACUUUUCUCAAGAUUCUCAUUUUCAUAACACGAGCAGGGACUACCUAGAGAAUUCUUUUGUUGCAGAAGUGUCUGCAACUGCCAUCCAGGCACAGCAGUGUUGGGUGCUUGUGAGCAGAUUCAAAGCAGAGUUGCCAUCACCGUUUGUAUUCUUUUUGUAACACACAACCCUUAUCUUUUCAUGCAACUUUUCAGAUAUUGUAAAGAAAAAUCACAAGAGAAUGAUAUAUGAUAACCAUGGAGAGGAAGAACAUCUUGGCAGCAUUCAGUUAUACUUUCUGGAAGAAUUGUAAUGAAGCCUUUUUCUUCCAGAAUAUUGUAUUUCCAUUUUUCCUUUAUGAUAGCCCAUUGUAUAGGUGAAAAAGAAAAACUUGUUUGAUAAAGUAAUAUUUCAUAACAUUCGUUCAGAAACCGAAGAAGUGCUUCAAUCUCAAAUUUCUAUUAGUGUCUGAAAAGGUGUUGGCUAUGGUUGAA
rnacentral:misc_RNA from 1 species